rnacentral:rRNA from 1 species
GCGAACGCUGGCGGCAGGCUUAACACAUGCAAGUCGAACGGGCACUUCGGUGUCAGUGGCAGACGGGUGAGUAACGCGUGGGAACAUACCUCUUGGUUCGGAACAACACAGGGAAACUUGUGCUAAUACCGGAUAAGCCCUUACGGGGAAAGAUUUAUCGCCGAGAGAUUGGCCCGCGUCUGAUUAGCUAGUUGGUGUGGUAAAGGCGCACCAAGGCGACGAUCAGUAGCUGGUCUGAGAGGAUGAUCAGCCACAUUGGGACUGAGACACGGCCCAAACUCCUACGGGAGGCAGCAGUGGGGAAUAUUGGACAAUGGGCGCAAGCCUGAUCCAGCCAUGCCGCGUGAGUGAUGAAGGCCUUAGGGUUGUAAAGCUCUUUUGUACGGGAAGAUAAUGACGGUACCGUAAGAAUAAGCCCCGGCUAACUUCGU